rnacentral:rRNA from 1 species
AACGAACGCUGGCGGCAGGCUUAACACAUGCAAGUCGAACGCGAAAUCACCUUCGGGUGGUGGAGAGUGGCAGACGGGUGAGUAACGCGUGGGAACCUACCUAGUGGUACGGAAUAACUCAGGGAAACUUGGGCUAAUACCGUAUGUGCCCGAAAGGGGAAAGAUUCAUCGCCACUAGAUGGGCCCGCGUCGGAUUAGCUUGUUGGUGAGGUAACGGCGCACCAAGGCGACGAUCCGUAGCUGGUCUGAGAGGAUGAUCAGCCACACUGGGACUGAGACACGGCCCAGACUCCUACGGGAGGCAGCAGUGGGGAAUAUUGGACAAUGGGCGCAAGCCUGAUCCAGCCAUGCCGCGCGAGUGAUGAAGGCCCUAGGGUUGUAAAGCUCUUUCGGCGGGGACGAUAAUGACGGUACCCGCAGAAGAAGCCCCGGCUAACUUCGUGCCAGCCGCCGCAGUAA